AUUGAACGCUGGCGGCAUGCCUUACACAUGCAAGUCGAACGGCAGCACGGGAGCAAUCCUGGUGGCGAGUGGCGAACGGGUGAGUAAUAUAUCGGAACGUGCCCAGUCGUGGGGGAUAACGCAGCGAAAGCUGUGCUAAUACCGCAUACGAUCUAUGGAUGAAAGCGGGGGAUCGCAAGACCUCGCGCGAUUGGAGCGGCCGAUAUCAGAUUAGCUAGUUGGUGGGGUAAAGGCCUACCAAGGCGACGAUCUGUAGCUGGUCUGAGAGGACGACCAGCCACACUGGAACUGAGACACGGUCCAGACUCCUACGGGAGGCAGCAGUGGGGAAUUUUGGACAAUGGGCGCAAGCCUGAUCCAGCAAUGCCGCGUGCAGGAUGAAGGCCUUCGGGUUGUAAACUGCUUUUGUACGGAGCGGAAAGGUUGUCUCUAAUAUAGAUGGCUCAUGACGGUACCGUAAGAA
rnacentral:rRNA from 1 species